rnacentral:misc_RNA from 1 species
UUUGCUGCAAUAUUCCAUUAAUUCAAAAUAUAUAAGCACCAGUAAAUAAAAUUAAGUUUUACAAGAAAAGUCCCAUACUUUGCUGACUAAACCCAUACAUAUUUGCUGAACUGAAAUCAAUCAUACUAACCCCAUACUUAAGUACAUUACAAAACAAUCAUUAGUCAAAACUUAAAGAACAAUGACAGCAAAAGUGUCACUAUACGUCGACAGUUUUGAUUAAAAAAAAAAUCCAUUAACAAAUUUAAUCUUGAUAGUAACCAAAAAACAAUAUUUCAGCUAAUUGAUUUAUAUUUGUUUCUAGCCAAUAAGGAAAGAUGUCAAAAGACGACUGCAUGCAUACAUGUGCUUUCCCAAGCGAGGGGACGUGUUUUUAGCUUUUCUUGCUUAGCAACUAUAUGCCUGUUAUGUCUUUUAUGGUUCUUCUCGUCUUCUUUAGCUAUUUCCUUAAAAGUUAUCUAGCAAGCGGUAACAGGGAUGGAAACAUACAAUGGUAAGAACACUUUCUUCACUGAAAUAAAUCUCAAUUGAGCAACAAUCAUCAUCUAACAAAUCAAUUUCUUCUGAAUGUUCCUCUUUCUUCUUGGCUUCUGCUUCUUUUUUCUGCUGUUCUUUGAGUCUGGCUCUCCCAUUUAACUCAAUUCUGGUCACCCUCUUUGUUUCAAUAGACCCUUUUUUUUUGGUUGUGCAGCAUCCUCAUUCUCUGUUAAAUUCUCCUCAUCAUCAUCCGCCUCAAGAAAGUACAUAUCUUCUUCAUCAAUUACUUUCUGCUCCCCAGGGACAUUUAAUGGAACAGGUUCAGGUCCCAACUCACUUUGAUAGACUUUCUGCAUUUCCUCUGCAACAGCUUGGGCCAAAGAAUCCUGAUGAGCUUCAAAUGAAGGAUUAAAUGAGCAUCCUGGAGGCUCAACUUCCACUGCUGGAAUAACUGAUGGUUUGAAUACCCGUAAAUGAUCGGACAUUCAUGAGACUAAAGCAAACCUUGAUUAAAUAUCUUUCUAGUUUUCUUGUCACAUUCACCUGGAACAUUGUCAAAGGAAAGAUAAACACCUUGCCAUCUCUAAACAACCAAACAAGCCAAACUGAUAGAAAUUAUAAAGCUAUGCAAGCCAAUAAAAAUUCAAUACCUUCAUUUUCCCACAAGUCGACCAUGCCAGAAUCCUGGACAGGACAAUCAUUCUUGGAACCAUCUUGAGUGGCAUCUUUUGGCUCAGACUCUUUCAGGGAUUUCUUGGAUAUCUUCUUCUUUUUCUGAUUCGAAGAUGGCACCGCUUGAACAAAAGGAUUUUUCUGAAGUAUACUGUCACAGCGGAGUACCUUUUCUCUGUGCUUCUCAAUCUUGCGCUUCACAGAAAGAUCUUUGGAUUUAUCGACGAAAAAGAGGGACUCAGUGGGAACAUGGGAAAGAGAGCCUCCGGAGAGAGCAUCUUUGGUGGAUUUCUCAAUGAAAUCGUCUAUGUCUUCUGUGCUUAUGUUUGCUCUCCAUGCUUUCUUGCCCUUCCUUGAGCUUUUCGCUUUCUUCCCCAUCUCUUUCUCUCUCUAUCUUUGCUUUGCUUGCUUCCUGCUGUGGCUGCCGAGAGUCUGCG